AUCACCGAUUCAAGGGAACGACGUGGAAUGAAAUCUCUGAAUCAGUUUCUUUGGGAGGUGGGUUCAAGCGAAGCAACGAAAGUUGCAAGAAAAGGUUACGCGACUGUAGAAGAUCCGUCAAUCGCAAGAUCCAAAAAGGGCAAAAAUUACACAAGGAUUGGGAAAAGAAGAUGGAGAACUACUUCGUACUUGUGCAGGAAGAAAUGGCAGGAACCAGUGCAGAAGGUAUUAUUUUUAAAAAUUCUAUAAAAUUAAUUUUUUAAUAUUCUUUUUAAAAAAGUAAUUAUUUAAACAAAAAUUUAAAUUUCUUAUUUCUUUCAAAAGGAGCCACAAAAGAUUCUACGCCAACAAAACAUAGCACGCCACAAACGGAAACAACGCCAAAGAAGAAAACAAAAUCGCAGAAAGAUUCCACAGUUAAGGCAAAGAGAAGAGUUUCUUUUGGAUAUCCGACAACUGGAGGAGGUGCUGAGGAUACCGAAACCCAGAUACAGCAUACAAUAUUGCCGAUUGAUUCAACACUGCAAGCAGCGACACUUCAAGCAGAAUCAGCCCAGAGGCACCCACCCACGGUGCAGGAAGAAACAUCAUCCCAACAGCCACUUCCAGAAGAAAAUUCAUCACAGGGGCACCCACAGACACUGCCAGAAGAGUCCUUUUCACAGAGCUACCCUGCAAUUGGAGACCAUAAUCUUGUUGAAAGAACAGAGCAAAUUCCGGACAUGGAAACUUCAGGCAGUGUACCAGAAGUCCUUGAAUCAACAACACCGGAAACUACGCGAGGAGGUAGCAAUUUUAUAUUUAUUUACAAUU